AUUGGGCAGGUGAUGAAUCUCAUAUUUUUAAUGGGUAAUUUGCGUCUGAAACAUUUCAUUGAUGCUUUAUAACCUUGGAGACCUGAUGCCCUUG